CCGGGGACGCCCCGCGCCGCCCGCCCUGGGUCACCUCCACCUUGGCCGCCAUCCUCAUCUUCACCAUCGUGGUGGACCUGCUGGGGAACCUCCUGGUCAUCCUCUCCGUGUACCGCAACAAGAAGCUGCGGAACGCCGGUGAUCCUUGGACUUCUUUUUCUGUCCAGAGAGAGAAUGGGUAGCCUGACAAAUAUUUGACUCAAGGGCGAUAACUAACAGAAGAUCAAGUUGUAGCACAAAUUCAGGGUUCUGAUGAAAGCUGAGAUGUUGAUGGCAUUAUUUCAGACAUAACUUCAGGUAUUAAAAAUGGUAAGCUGAUUGGGAGAGGGGAAAAUAUCUAGAGGAAAUACUGAACUUGGACAAUUGAACAGAAUUGAGUAUAAAAACUCGGUUUAAAUAAAGCUGUUCCAAAGACUGGUUUUGAUGAAUAAUUUACUGAAUUGAGGGUUUUUCAGAGAACUACUUAAAUGACAUUGUCCUGUCAGUGACCAACAACAGAUGAGUAUUUCAAAUAACAUUCCAUUCUUUCUAAUAUGUCCGCUAAAUUCAGCUAUUUAUACCUUCUGCAAGUUUCUGCUUUUUGAAGUCUUUCACAGUAGUGCUUCUAGUUUGCUGCUGCUAGCAGAGAACAGUACCUACAUAUUAUACUGCUUGUCUUUUUUAGUAGUUCUUGGAGUGCUUCUCCCUUUUCUGAUUUAGAUGGCUUUUCAUCUUUAAUCUUUUAGCAAUUUCUGAUCUGCUUCUACUCUUGUUCUUUUUCUACUUUUCUUUUUACAUUACUUUCCUAUCCUGCUGUGGAUGCUUCUUGUGUUUCUAGCAAAUGACAUAAGCAGCAAGUCUAGUUUAGUGACAACUCUUACCAACAGUGGGCAUCCAAUGCUAUAGGACAAUGUCCAACCCAUUUGUAUAAGGCUGGCUUUCCUAGGGCAAUAACAACUGCUAUAGCGGGGUUAAUUCAGUGCUAUGCAUUAAUCUAAUUUUGCAACCUCAAGAACCUUGUCACCCUUGCUCUUGGCAGCUUUUGUCAUAUCAGUGAGCUGCUUCAAAUUUCAUGUUAAUUUUGCAUUCCUGAGUAAUGAUUGCCAAGCUCUGUUUCAGGAGGAUGAGUGUUACUAAGAAUUCUUCAGGUUAAGAGAAUAUUGCUAAUGUUUUAUUGUCUGCUUAUUUAAUGUGUAGUUAAAAAUGCUGAAGACUGUAAUACAAAUGCUGCUAUUAGAAGUGUUCUUUCAAAGUCUAUUCCCCUUAAAGUCACAGAGGUACUACAGCAGCUAAGUAGUAUAAUCCAGGUUCCUACCUUCCAUGUCAAAAUAAAGGUCAGACCUAUCUUUUCCUCCUGUAGUUUUGAGGAUGGAUAUGAUAUACAAGAACAAAACCUAAAUGAUACCCUUACAUUUAGAUGAUAAGAAUGUUGCAUGUUUUAACCUUGUACUUUUCAAGCUGAUCAGAAACUAAGGUGUAAUCAGCAAGUCUGUUUAACUCUUUAAAUAGUGACUUCUGUUACUUCUAAAUAGCUUUGUAGUCAUGACUAAGUGUACAAAGGUUCAUGUCCUAUAUUUUUAAACAGUAUUCACUCAUAUCCUUAAAGAGAAGGCCAAUUUAUAUCCCUUCCUUGAAGAAACACCUUGCACGGGAAGUGAAAUAUUCCUAGCUCAUUUGCUUCACUUUAUAAAUGACCUAAUACCAGGUCAUGUAUCUAGUUCUAGAAGACAUUACUUUAUUGAUAAUCAAAUUUGUAAUUAAAUCAAAUUAUCUUAUAGUCCCAUUGUAGUCCCGUACUUGAAUUAGGCAUUUUCUCAUCAUGGAGAACUUGAUCUCUUCCUUUGCUAUAGUUGUAAGAAACUCCUUUUAACACUUUGCUCGUUCUUUACUCUCACAUCACUCCUAAGGUCCCAUGUUGAAAACAGAAUAAUUUCAAACCCUGCUGUGCAUAAGCAAGUAUUGAAAUUUUCAGUUCAAAUGCAAAGUAGUGGGAAAGGUAUGUGGAUGGCUUCUGUUUUUGUCUACACCCUUAGGUAGCCUUUUAGCUACCUUUGCGUUGCUUGGGAAGGGUAUAUACCUUUCCAUUUAGGCCUACAGAAACCCUGCUCUGCAUGAUCUACAUUUCACAUGGAUCAUUUUCCUCCAAUGUGAUGCUGAAAUAUAAGCUCUAUCUUACCUUAGUUUUGUAUCUGCACCCCAAAAAAUAAAGUUAGCAAAACUAGUUUUUCCUCUUUGAAGGAGAGACUACCAAGCAGAGGCACCCUGCCCCUGUGCUGGAAGUGGUUAACUCUUCCCUUGUUGCUUGGUAUUGUGAGGUCAAGUGAUAACAUUGCUUUUGUUAGGUCACUUUGUCUGGACCUGAGUAUCAACCUAGUGCAACAGUCAGUACUAUGUUAGUUGUCUAGGGAAGACAGCCAGUUCUGUAGCCCUUGGCAAAAGGCACAAAUGAGCACAAGUACAGGGAUUGGCCUUGAAAAUUGGUACCCAGCCACAGCCCAGAGAAGUUCUAGAAAUGUGCAAUGAUAUCUACUGGGUGAAGCAUCAUAAUCUUUAUCCCCAUAGCAGUAGCUAUGGAUUACAUUUGAUGUAUACUUCUUUACCAGAUUCAGUGAUGAGUUUUCUGCUCCUUCGUCUUGAUUCUUAAGGACUUGUUCUUCCUGUGUUGGGGAGUGAAGAAGGGUUUUCAUUCUUGGAUAUGAAAGUGUUCUUAGCUCAAUACAGGCAUGGUAUGGGCAACUUCAUUUUAGGGGCAUUGAAAGAAAGGUACCUUUGCAUGAAUUUCCCUCACUUUAUUAGUAUCACAACGCCACUUUUUAGUGCCUUUUUUGUGAGUGCGGAAGGAGAAUUUUUUUUCUUGAGUAACAGCAUCCACAGACUUGUUUUGAAGUUAUUUUGAAGGACUGGAUAUUGUUGGAGAACUUGGUAGCUACGUUUUAUGAAGAAUUGAUGUCUCCAUAUAUGUGAAUGAACUGGAUAUUUCACUGGUUUAUUUCAUUUUGGAUGAAGAACUAAUGAAUUAUAAAUAAAAUCAUUUUUAUUAAUGGUUUGUGUAUUUUGCAUUCAUAUAUUGUCUUUUAAUGUAAAUAAUUAUUAAUUGUCUCCAGAUAUCUCUGGCUGUAUAAUUCUGGGGUCUGCCUUCUGUAGUUUGAGUAAUUAUCUAACAUGCAGGUUUGCAUAAUUUUAAUUUGUUACAAGAUUAAAGUUCGUCCUCAUUUGUGUGCCAUAUUAAAUCUGCAAACCUUUCCCAAAUUUAGGUUAUUGAAUCAGUUCUUACUUAGAACAAGGGAUUAAAAGGGAUCUUCUAGACUAUCAAGUCCAAUUUCUAGGUGUACUAGACUUUCAUAUAAAUUCUUUAGGAGUCAGUCCUCACCUUAAGUUAUAGCUUUUUCUUAUUCCAUUGCAAGAAGGAUGCUCUCAAUACCUAAAAUGUUUUCUUGUGUAAAUGUAUCAUGCUUACUAAAUGUACUGUGCUUAAUAUUAAAUAUCUCUUCCAGUAAUAAAGGGUGAGAAAAACA